rnacentral:rRNA from 1 species
UACAGAGGUGGCAAGCGUUGUUCGGAAUUACUGGGCGUAAAGGGCGCGUAGGCGGCCAUCUAAGUCAGACGUGAAAUCCCCCGGCUUAACCUGGGAACUGCGUCUGAUACUGGGAGGCUUGAGUAUGGGAGAGGGAUGUAGAAUUCAGGUGUAGCGGUGAAAUGCGUAGAUAUCUGGAGGAAUACCGGUGGCGAAGGCGGCACUCUGGGCCGGUACUGACGCUGAGGAGCGAAAAGCGUGGGGAGCGAACAGGA